rnacentral:tRNA from 1 species
GCCUUCGUGGUGUAAUGGUCAGCACAUUGAGCCGGUAUCUCAGAGGUCCGUGGUUCGAUUCCCGGCGAAGGAA